UACGUAGGGAGCAAGCGUUGUCCGGAAUCAUUGGGCGUAAAGCGCGCGUAGGCGGCCCUGUAAGUCCGUUGUGAAAGUCAAAGGCUCAACCUUUGAAAGCCGAUGGAUACUGCAGGGCUAGAGUCCGGAAGAGGCGAGUGGAAUUCCUGGUGUAGCGGUGGAAUGCGCAGAUAUCAGGAGGAACACCGAUGGCGAAGGCAGCUCGCUGGCCCGACUACUGACGCUGAGGCGCGAAAGCGUGGGGAGCGAACAGG
rnacentral:rRNA from 1 species